rnacentral:rRNA from 1 species
UUCUAAAAAGAUUGGAAGAUCCGGCCAAAGAAGGUGAUAGCCCUGUUCAUUCGUUCCCAUGGUUCGAUCCUUCCCAGUAAAACGCGGCGUGUUCGAAUGAUGAUCGCUUUUACGCGAGAAAGGGGGACCACCCUCUAAGCCUAAGUAUUCCUCAAUGACCGAUAGCGUACAAGUACCGUGAGGGAAAGGUGAAAAGAACCCCAAUCGGGGAGUGCAAUAGAGAACCUGAGAUC